UCUUGAGCUAACGCCAAGCUAACUCUAGCAGCAAAAUUAUCAUGCGAAGGCAUGUGGUCCAUUAAAAAUACGAGUCACAUAGAGUUGUAGGGUGAUGUCACAUCAGCUGCCCCCGAUGAUGGCUAUCAAAAGUUAGCACAAGCCUCCAAAUCACAAACGCCUUGGCUCUGAUCCCAUUUUAAUGAAUCUGCUUUUACGAUUAAACAUCACUGUAAUUGGCACUGGAAGAGUGCUGGCAGUCUGCUGUAGUCUCCUUCCCUGCAAAGCGUGUUUGUGAUGCUCAUCUCGGAAUGAUGCAUAGUGUCUGCCUGUCUCCUAUUAAAAUAAGUGGUAUGAACAGUGGCUGGCAGGCAGACUGGUCAGCAGUGAUUCACUCCCUGGCAGCCAUGAUGAGCAGCAUGGGCUAAAUUCAGCCUUGGUGGAGGUAUGUAUUUCUCCAUUUCUUUUCAAGGCAUCACAUCAAUGUUACAUCAGGUAUCAAGGGAAAAUGGCUAGCAGUGAGUUCUGUAGCUUUUCCUGCUCUGCAGCCCCUCUGGCUUAGCCAGCUGGAUCACACUGAAUUAGUCAACUACUUCAUUAUCUCCCUUCUCUGCACAUUUUGCUCCAGCUUAGAUCACCAAGGUACUGCAAAUGUUGCCAAAGCCUCACUCUCCUCUGCUCUCCUACCAUCCUGCCCUCCC